GUUCCAUUGUUCAAGGAGAAAAUAGCAAAUGCAAUUGGUGUCCCAGUUGAGCAGCAACGACUAAUUUUUAGGGGAAAGGUCUUAAAGGAUGAUCACCUCCUCUCUGAUUACCGCCUGGAAAAUGGGCACACACUGCAUUUAGUAGCAAGACAGCCUGCCCAGUCACAGCCUUCCCCUGGAACAGCCUCUGGAAAAACCAAUGGGAAUAGUGACAUUCAUGUAAAUGAUGC